UAAGGAAUAUUGGACAAUGGAGGCAACUCUGAUCCAGCCAUGCCGCAUGAAGGAAUAAGGCCCUAUGGGUUGUAAACUUCUUUUAGACGGGACAAAACCCCUUUACGUGUAAAGGGUUGAUGGUACUGUCAGAAUAAGCAUCGGCUAACUUCGUGCCAGCAGCCGCGGUAAUACGAAGGAUGCAAGCGUUAUCCGGAAUUAUUGGGUUUAAAGGGUGCGUAGGCGGACUAAUAAGUCAGUGGUGAAAGCCUGCAGCUUAACUGCAGAAUUGCCAUUGAUACUGUUAGUCUUGAGUACAGUUGAGGUAGGCGGAAUGUGUCAUGUAGCGGUGAAAUGCUUAGAUAUGACACAGAACACCGAUUGCGAAGGCAGCUUGCUAAGCUGUAACUGACGCUGAGGCACGAAAGCGUGGGGAGCAAACA
rnacentral:rRNA from 1 species